CGGCCCUCUUUAGACCGUGGAAGUAGUUGAGCCCAAACCUGUUGUGGUGCUCCAUCGUCGGGGCGACGAUCAAAAAAGUUGGGGUAGAUUGUAGCAGGUUGAUUGGUCGCAAUGGUUUCAAUCACACUGAUUGUAACAGGUUGAUUGGUCGCAGUGGUUUCAAUCACACUCACACUCUCUCUGGACCAAUCAGGACUUAGCUGCAUGCUAUAUAGGCAGGGGUUCCCUAUUGACACUCCUUACUCUUUGUUGCCGGAGGCACAUUUCGGCUCUUGACUCUUUCGAGGCCACGGUGCAGUCACGGUAAUUCGACAGUGUCUCCCUGUUAUAAACCCGAUCAUUCCUGUGACGGAACCGGGUUGAGUUUUGCUGCUGGCUCGGUGUAGCUGUACUAUCGUCACUAUUGGUGUGAGGCUCAUUGAUGGGGUUGUAAACCGCUUCGCUUGCGCUGGUAUCUGCACCAGCCCCUCCUUUCCCUGUCACGCUGCUGUUUUGUCUCAACUAUUGUUUUAACUGUAGAUUGUUUAACCAGUUAUAGCUACAGGAGCUCACUCUAAGCUCUGAACGCCGCUAAGUGCCUUCCAGCACCAGGAUCUGUUGCCCAAUUGGGUGUCUGGCAGGGCU
ensembl:lncRNA